UGGAAGUACAAUUACUGUGACCUUUUGUCAGGUGCCUGCAGUGUUUCCAAUAUAAAUUCCCUGCUCUGAGGAAGAUCCUGCAGCAGUGCUGUGUCCCAUGCAAGUUACAACCAUUCAACUACUGGUGCACUACUUACAUGGGAGAAGAAGGCAGCUGGGACCAUGAUCUAGAUAUCAUUACCACUUACUUUUGACAGAAAGCUCUCCAGGACAGGAUCUGCAGUUAGGAGUGAAGACGUCCAGCCACCAUCCUGAGCAAAGAAUGUGGCGCUCAAUAACUACUCAAGGCUCACCAUAAACCACCUCUUUUCAUCCAAGGACCCCAACAAGAAGCUUAAAGCAUGCACGUCUCCUUCCAAGCCAAACAUGCCAACAUACUUGCACUCCAGGAGGGUCAGGCAGAGCAGAAAGUCUUGCUGGUACCAGGUCUGAACAAGGAGGAGAGACCCUGUUGA